AUAUUCCUGUGGUGUUACUGCGAAGGGGACGGAGAAGGCUAUGUUGGCCGGGCGACGGUUGUCCCGGUUUAAGCGUGUAGGCUGGUUUUCCAGGCAAAUCCGGAAAAUCAAGGCUGAGGCGUGAUGACGAGGCACUACGGUGCUGAAGCAACAAAUGCCCUGCUUCCAGGAAAAGCCUCUAAGCAUCAGGUAACAUCAAAUCGUACCCCAAACCGACACAGGUGGUCAGGUAGAGAAUACCAAGGCGCUUGAGAGAACUCGGGUGAAGGAACUAGGCAAAAUGGUGCCGUAACUUCGGGAGAAGGCACGCUGAUAUGUAGGUGAAGCGACUUGCUCGUGGAGCUGAAAUCAGUCGAAGAUACCAGCUGGCUGCAACUGUUUAUUAAAAACACAGCACUGUGCAAACACGAAAGUGGACGUAUACGGUGUGACGCCUGCCCGGUGCCGGAAGGUUAAUUGAUGGGGUCAGCGCAAGCGAAGCUCUUGAUCGAAGCCCCGGUAAACGGCGGCCGUAACUAUAACGGUCCUAAGGUAGCGAAAUUCCUUGUCGGGUAAGUUCCGACCUGCACGAAUGGCGUAAUGAUGGCCAGGCUGUCUCCACCCGAGACUCAGUGAAAUUGAACUCGCUGUGAAGAUGCAGUGUACCCGCGGCAAGACGGAAAGACCCCGUGAACCUUUACUAUAGCUUGACACUGAACAUUGAGCCUUGAUGUGUAGGAUAGGUGGGAGGCUUUGAAGUGGACGCCAGUCUGCAUGGAGCCGACCUUGAAAUACCACCCUUUAAUGUUUGAUGUUCUAACGUGGACCCGUGAUCCGGGUUGCGGACAGUGUCUGGUGGGUAGUUUGACUGGGGCGGUCUCCUCCUAAAGAGUAACGGAGGAGCACGAAGGUNGCUAAUCCUGGUCGGACAUCAGGAGGUUAGUGCAAUGGCAUAAGCCAGCUUGACUGCGAGCGUGACGGCGCGAGCAGGUGCGAAAGCAGGUCAUAGUGAUCCGGUGGUUCUGAAUGGAAGGGCCAUCGCUCAACGGAUAAAAGGUACUCCGGGGAUAACAGGCUGAUACCGCCCAAGAGUUCAUAUCGACGGCGGUGUUUGGCACCUCGAUGUCGGCUCAUCACAUCCUGGAGCUGAAGUAGGUCCCAAGGUAUGGCUGUUCGCCAUUUAAAGUGGUACGCGAGCUGGGUUUAGAACGUCGUGAGACAGUUCGGUCCCUAUCUGCCGUGGGCGCUGGAGAACUGAGGGGCUGCUCCUAGUACGAGGACCGGAGUGGACGCAUCACUGGUGUUCGGGUUGUCAUGCCAAUGGCACUGCCCGGUAGCUAAAUGCGGAAGAGAUAAGUGCUGAAAGCAUCUAAGCACGAAACUUGCCUCGAGAUGAGUUCUCCUGACUCCUUGAGAGUCCUGAAGGAACGUUGAAGACGACGACGUUGAUAGGCCGGGUGUGUAAGCGCAGCGAUGCGUUGAGCUAACCGGUACUAAUGAACCGUGAGGCUU
rnacentral:rRNA from 1 species